CAUCGGGAUUGAAGCUUGCUUCAAUUGCCGGCGACCGGCGCACGGGUGCGUAACGCGUAUAUAACCUACCUAUAACAGGGGCAUAACACUGAGAAAUUGGUACUAAUUCCCCAUAAUAUUCGGAGAGGCAUCUCUCCGGGUUGAAAACUCCGGUGGUUAUAGAUGGACAUGCGUUGUAUUAGCUAGUUGGUGAGGUAACGGCUCACCAAGGCAACGAUACAUAGGGGGACUGAGAGGUUAACCCCCCACACUGGUACUGAGACACGGACCAGACUCCUACGGGAGGCAGCAGUGAGGAAUAUUGGUCAAUGGACGCAAGUCUGAACCAGCCAUGCCGCGUGCAGGAAGACGGCUCUAUGAGUUGUAAACUGCUUUUGUACGAGGGUAAACUCACCUACGUGUAGGUGACUGAAAGUAUCGUACGAAUAAGGAUCGGCUAACUCCGUGCCAGCAGCCGCGGUAAUACGGAGGAUUCAAGCGUUAUCCGGAUUUAUUGGGUUUAAAGGGUGCGUAGGCGGUUUGAUAAGUUAGAGGUGAAAUCCCGGGGCUUAACUCCGGAACUGCCUCUAAUACUGUUAGACUAGAGAGUAGUUGCGGUAGGCGGAAUGUAUGGUGUAGCGGUGAAAUGCUUAGAGAUCAUACAGAA
rnacentral:rRNA from 1 species